UCCUCAUGAAAGCCAACAGCACAAUGAAUGUGAUAAAAGAGUUGACUGCAUGAGACGACAAAAAGGAAAAGGGAUAAAAGAGUUGACUGCAUUUGCUUUCGACCAAUGGAUGUGCAUUAUUAUCCAACAUUGAGAUUAGGGGUUUUGAGCUUCUAUCAACUCCCAUAUGAUCUCAUAGCCAGUGCAGUGCAGUGCCAACAGAACACCAACCUAUGCUCGCAAGACAAAGCGCUUUGGUUUAGAUAGAGUUCCUCCUCCUAAUCAAUCGAUAGGCUCCUAAAAUAUGGCACAGCUCGAUACCCUGCACGCAGUCGGCUUCACCUAUUGGAUUCGAUCAUUUGCCGAUUCUGAUAGUAGAUCACAUUGCCAUUGGAUUUUUGUUCUUCCUUCCGUUGGAGUUCUACCGAAUCUUGGAUACUACUAGCGGGGGGGCAUCGAAAUUUGGAUCCUUCUUGCUAGCAGAUCUCAGCUCUGGCCAGAAAACCCUAGGGCGGAUUCGAAUUUAGGGUUCUUGCUCCCUUUUCCUUGUCUUUGUUGUCGCGAUUUCAGAUACUGGGGUUUUUAUCUAUGGCGGCGGCGAUGGAUGGGGAGGGUGGCGACUUGCAGGACCCGGGCAUCGGUGAUGGGUUCGGAGGACAGGAUGACGGCGUUGCAGGAGGAAGAGCUGAGUGCCACAUCUGAUAUUUAUGAGCUUGCCAGUACCUUUUCCAAGGUUAGUUCUUUCUUUCUUUUCCAUAUUUUAUGUCUUAUGUGAAUGGAUGCUUUUCCAGGAAGAUGUUUUGAAUUAUCCUUCAGGCUGUUUAGUCUCUACAGAAUUGUUUGUUAUAGUAAAGCCCUGCUGCAGGCCGGUGAAUCAUUGGGAUUUUUAAUGAUUGGAAAGUUACAUGAAUCCCUGAAACUGUGGAGUGACUGACCACAAGACCUAUGCAGCAUCAUGUUAAUCAUGUUACUUUUUUCUCUGUGCUGUUAAGUGCUUUGGGUAUGCAUCCAUAUCUGAUUCGAAUGAGCGGGAUAUUAUUGGUAUAUUAUUGGGCAUAGUCUGAUGCUUUUAACUUGCCUUAAUAUUGUUUUAAGUCUUGCCAAAUGAACAUAGUUUAAUCAAGGCUUUAGAGUCAAUAAUUCCAACUAUUGGCUUCUUAGAUAUUGCUUCACCGAAAAGUUGUAAUUUCCUCGACAUGUAUUGUGGUUCAUGAGUAUUCCAUAUUUGUUGAGGUCA